UAUAUACUCCCUCCAUCCACAAAUACUUGUCGGAAUAAUGAAUAAAAGUGAAUGUAUCUAUAACUAAAAUACAUCUAGAUACAUCCAUUUCUCCAACAAGUGUUUCCGGACGGAGGGAGUACAUA
rfam:Triticum aestivum genome assembly, contig: Triticum_aestivum_CS42_TGACv1_scaffold_542491_6DS